GGGGGGGGGUUCAAGCUGCGCCUCCAACAGUGGGCCUGACCUACAUAUGAACUCAGUCCAUAUCUUUUGUGUCGUGUUCAGAACAGCGAUUCCAUCGAGAUCAAACUGUUUGUCGCUGCUCCGUCUUCUUUGCUGCUGGAUCCAGAACACCAGACCAGCCUGUGCAUCGUCUCUCGUGCCAGAUGCUGCAGCUGUGCGUCAAAAAGGAAACCCUUCCCUUUGAACGCCACACCUGCCGCGGCGUGUUUCUCCCGCCGCUCUCCGCCUUCGUUCUCUUCCUCCUCGACGCGUGUCGCUGCUUGCUGCCCCGGAAGCCGAGCGGGAAACGCGAGGGAGAACCACAGAUUCGUGCGGAGUUGUGUUUUCAUACACACACUCAUGCACGUGGCAGUAAAUCAUUAAAGAGCAGUCUGAGUUUAUGGUAAAGUGCACGUAUGAAAGGUGGAGCAACACUUCCAAUGAUUUAUUCAGUGAGUGUAAUAUCCAUGGCAUCAUUUAUGAGGCGGUGCGUUUGCGUGUGCGACGGGCACAAGAAGAGGCCACGCUGAUCAUAUUGGGAAAUAUUUUACGCGAUAAGUUUGCAAAUUGGGACUUUUUACACCUUGACUUCAUUUUACAUCCACACAAAGACUGGGAUGAAAAAUAAUGGCUCAGCGUGCAACGUCCAUUUUGCAGCAAGUGAGAGGAAAAAAAGACGAAGAUGCCAUUUGCAGUCCAGUGUUGCGAGGUUGGAGGAGGGAGUCCACGGCCGAGAGGAGCAGAGAUGCGAGAGGCGACCUGCCUGUGACCUCUCAGGUCUCUUUCAGCUCAUCUACUCUUCUCAGAGAGGAACCUUCCUAAAUUCUAUUCAGCUGGAGGGUGAAGACGCGAGCGGGUGAACUAAAUGCUGCAGCGUCACGUCACCUUCUGUCAGGAAAUGGCCGGUUUACGUGGCUUGAAGGACACGUGGUGGUAAGAAUAACUCACGUAGGGUAGCUGGCUGGCAGGAAUGUCCACAUGUUUCCAGGGUUCGAGCUCCGCUCCCCCCGGCUGUGUUUUGUGUGGAACCGGAUGUUCAGCUGAGGGGCAGCAGCUGACUCGAGUAGAGACUUAGCGCUGAUUGAUUGCACGUGUGUGUGUGUGUGUGUGUGUGUGACAGAGAACCACAGGGGAUCUAUUUGUUUUGGACAUGAGCGCUUCUCUCGAUGAACA
ensembl:lncRNA